AAUCCUAGACUCUCGGAGUCUUUAACACCUGUGCACUAUCAUAUUGUUUCUGGGAGAAGGACGCUGUCCCUCCCAAACUAAUAAACCUUACUAUUUGUCUGAUAUAUUGUAUAAUAUAAAACAACUUUUGACAACGGAUCUCUUGGCUCU
rnacentral:misc_RNA from 1 species